CAGAUUGUCACCAGCGAGUGGGGGGAUAAGGGACAGAACAUAGGCAUGGUGGUGGAGACUUCCGGAAGGGACACAGAAGGCAUACAAGCCACGGUUGUCCACAGAGAGAAUGUAAUUGACUUUAGGACUUUGGGGGCAUCCCCCCGACAUGUGUUUUCAUUUGUCUCCAAAGUGGGUACCCUCUCCUGGGGUGUGAGCAGACCCCACCCCCACCCCCCGCCACCACUCCUCCCUGCUGUUCAGAAGCCCUGGCAGGAUGGAGGGGCACUGCCACUUGAGCCAGACCCCCGGCCCAGUCACCAUCCCCAGCGCACACUCACACAGGGGUGAUGACGGCCACAGAGGCUGGGGGCUUCUUCGUCUAUUCAGGCCCGUGCAGAGGGUCCUGACCCAGGCACGCCCACGUGCUCGCCCUGACGCCCCUCCCCCGGGGACCUGGGUCAGGGUUCCUUCCUUCCAUCCUUCGUGCAUUCUCCCUGGCUUUGGGAGGGAGGUUGGCUUCCAUAGGGCCUGAUGGUCGGGCCUGGGGCUGGGGGUCUCCCUGGAUAUACCUCCCUGGAGGUAGGCAGGAGGAAGGAGCCGCUGGCUAUGCGGGAUGUAAAGGGGGGGGGGGAUAUAGCUCUAGCCCCUCCCCAGGCACGACUAAUCUGGCUCUGGAAGCCGUAAGGUCAAGGAAGGGAGGGGACCCAGUGACCUGCCCAGCCCCUCUUGGGGAGCCAGGGGGCCAGGGGAGCUGGGAACCGGCUGAGAGCGGCCAGCCCCCCAGCCUCAUGCCUCCCAUUGCCAGGUGUCGGUAAAUAUCCAGAAGGGGCUCUUUAUGUGCCCCACAGGCCCCUGACCUCCCUGGGGUGUGUCCCCGGGGCAGUGACACUUGGGUGUGACCAGAAGGAUGAGAAGAGUCAGUGGGGGAACUGCAGGGGCAGAGGCUGGGAGAUGGGGCCGUGUGUCAUGUCUGUGAGGAGCCCUCGAGGCCCACGGGACCUAAGCCCAGAGAAAUGGAAAGCAAAGGAACUAAGGCCAGAGAGGGGUCGGGCCUUAACGGUGAGGGCACUAGAGAGCCAUGGCAGGGAUUUGAGCAGAAGAGAGAUGUGGUCCCUAUGGCUGCCCUGUGGCGGGCGGUUCAAGAGGGGAGGGGUGGAGACAGACAUCAGGGGGAGAGAAGGGGCUGGCCUGUGGGGGUAAUGAGCAGCAGACGGGGGCGGGGGGGGGGGAGGCUCUUGACGGCGUGGGGGUGAGGACACAGCCACCCAUCGGCGCUGGGUGAGGGGCCACCCUCCGAGCAGGGACAUCUCGGCGCUGGUGGCGGGAAUGACUGGGGCAUGGGAAGUUCAUGUGCCCAGGCCCCAUGGGAUGGAGCCAGCCCCUGGCCGGAGGGCUGUGCACCAGGGGCAGCAGGCGAGUGGGUGAAUGCAUCAGGGCUGAGCCCCAGCCCCGGACUGAACCCCGAGCCCCGGCGGGGCCCCUGCUGCGGACCAGACCCAACCACACCGAGCCUCUUUCCCCCGGGCCCCAGCCGCCUCCGAGAGCCGUGCUACCCGGCCGAGGGCGGCCCUUCCCCCCUCCUGGCCUGGUGCCUACGGCUCCUGACUCAGGGGCCCCCAGGGCCUGUCCUGCCACAUUCCGGGGUGGCCUGUGUAAACACGGGGUGCCUCCUCAGCGGCCCCCAUGGGCAUUGUUCGUCCUAGUUCCCGGGGACCAGGGCGUGGGCAGGGGACAGGGAGCCGGCCGGAUUCCCGCCACCUGCCCACGCACCCACCCACGGGGCGGCCCCACUCAGCCCUGCCCCUGGCAGCGAGGGGGCCCUCCUGUCUCUCCCCGGCACGCGAAGGGCGAGCUUCUUCUCCUGGCGUUCUCCAGGUCCCCUGAGCUUCACAGAUGAGGCGGCGCACACAAGCCCAUGGCUCAGCUGGGGAAACUGAGGCUCAGGCCCCAGCCCGAGGCUGGCAAGGCUCACACACCGGGUUCGCCUGCCCCGCCAAGCUGUUCCACGUGUUUCUGGCGUCUUCCAGAAAUGCGGGGAGGGCAUUCCCUGCCGCCAGCACCGCACCACUCCAAGGAGCUUGGGUUUCACCCGGGGCUUCUGGGAAGAAGCCAGGAGGGCAACGUGGUCUCUCUCGGGGCUCACACGGGGGAGCUGGCCCUCAAAGGCCCAGGCUGCUCAGGGUGACCAGGAAGAAGGCGCUGCUGGGUAAUUCUGGAGCUGGUGUGGGGACUGCAUGCUGCUUCCUGGGUGUGUGCUGAGGGCCACGGGGAGCCCUUGGUGGUUAGCCGCCGCCCCCCCCCCCCGCCCCGUCCUGGCCACCCUGUCUGGAGCCGGGACCCCACAUGGACUCUUCCCUUACCUGGCUCAGCCCACCCCCCCCCACCUCACAGCCUCACCAGCCCCCUUGCGGCUCCCCAAACAGCUCGUCCUGGCCGUCUGCUCCUCUCAUUGUGCCCGGCUAGCUCUUCCUCGUCCUUCAGCUCUCAGCCUGGGUGCUGCCUCCUCCAGGAAGCCUCCCAGAGCAAGCCAGGCCCCACUCCUCUUGUAGGAGUUUUUGCAGUUUCCGGUUCCGGUUUCUCCUCCAUGGAGUAAUCGCUUGAUCCCGUGAUCACUGGCUUAGGGCCCCCCAAGGGCGGGGCGCGAGGCUUUCUUACUCCAUGAGGUAUGGCGCACAAUGGGUGCUCGUGGGUCUGGAGGGGGGCCGUGAAGACGGAGGCAGCGUGGUGUGGGGGGUUCCUGGUUCUUAAGGCCAGGUUUGGGGCCUGGGCGAUGGUGCCCAGGGGAGGGAAGGAGCAGCAGCCACUGGGCCCAGCUUGCCCACAGAUCUGGGUUCAGAUUCUGGCUCCACCACGUUCUGGCUGUAUGCCUGGGGCAGAGGCUGCCCUUCCCAGGCCUUGGUUUCCCCUUCUGAAAAUCGGGGCUCGGGGAGGUCACUUCCAGGCCCUAAUGGCUACUCACACCUCCCUUUCCCUGUGCACACCACACUGAAUCUCACUUCGGCCCUGGGCAGCGGUGGCCACUAGAACACCCUUUUUGCAGGUGGGGAAACCGAGGCACAGAGGGAUGCGCUCAUUUGGCCAAAGCCACAUGAAGGGUUCAGUGCCCAGGACUGCCCGAGGGAGGGUCCCAGGAUUGGAAGAGUCUCCAAACUGGCAGGCCUCGUGUACCCCUCCCACCUCCUUGCCCUCUUGAGGGGUGGGAAAGGUACAGAGCCAAGAUCUAUAAAAAGAAAAAUCUUCAAAUCUGGCUCUAUAAAAACUACAUGCUUCUGAAUCAAACAGACACGCAGCUGAGGUUAGAUGAGGUGAGACAGCUGGGGAGAAAAACAUUUGUAACACUGUAACAGAGGGAUUCAUAGCCUUCCUAUACAAAGAGUUCCUACAAAUCAAUAAAAAAAAAAAAAAACCCACAAAACAACCAUACAGAAAGCCAG